UGGGUUCAUGGUUGUCAAGCUUCUCCUCGCACAUUUCCAAGAACAUCAGGAUGGGCUUCUGCUUUAUGCAGAUAGGUGUGCUACAGCUGCUGAUGUUGAAGGAACUCACAAUCUGCCAUCAAGUCCACGACUCAUUGCCCUUGGAGACACCAAUAGCCUUCAGCAUUGGAUGGUAAGCCUGGAGGGUGAAGUGGUUUGUGAAGCACACAGCCUACAUUCCUGGC